CUCCAGCUGAUGAGUCUAAAACAGGACGAAACGCUCGUCUUGGAU
rnacentral:hammerhead_ribozyme from 1 species